rnacentral:rRNA from 1 species
UUUAUGGCCAUAACCACCCUGAAUGCAACCUGGUCUCAUCUGAUCUCGGCAGCUAAGCAGGGUGAGGCAUGGGUAGUCCUUGGAGGGGAGAAGU